UGGGGAAUAUUGCACAAUGGGCGCAAGCCUGAUGCAGCCAUGCCGCGUGUAUGAAGAAGGCCUUCGGGUUGUAAAGUACUUUCAGCGGGGAGGAAGGGAGUAAAGUUAAUACCUUUGCUCAUUGACGUUACCCGCAGAAGAAGCACCGGCUAACUCCGUGCCAGCAGCCGCGGUAAUACGGAGGGUGCAAGCGUUAAUCGGAAUUACUGGGCGUAAAGCGCACGCAGGCGGUUUGUUAAGACAGAUGUGAAAUCCCCGGGCUCAACCUGGGAACUGCAUCUGAUACUGGCAAGCUUGAGUCUCGUAGAGGGGGGUAGAAUUCCAGGUGUAGCGGUGAAAUGCGUAGAGAUCUGGAGGAAUACCGGUGGCGAAGGCGGCCCCCUGGACGAAGACUGACGCUCAGGUGCGAAAGCGUGGGGAGCAAACAGG
rnacentral:rRNA from 1 species